UACAGAGGGGGCAAGCGUUAUUCGGAAUUAUUGGGCGUAAAGGGCGCGUAGGUGGCUUGGCAAGUGGAUGGUGAAAUCCCUCGGCUUAACCGGGGAACUGCCGUCCAAACUGCUUCGCUUGAGACCGGGAGAGGUGAGUGGAAUUCCCAGUGUAGCGGUGAAAUGCGUAGAUAUUGGGAGGAACACCAGUGGCGAAGGCGGCUCACUGGACCGGUACUGACGCUGAUGCGCGAAAGCGUGGGGAGCAAACGGG
rnacentral:rRNA from 1 species